rnacentral:rRNA from 1 species
CCUACGGGUGGCAGCAGUGGGGAAUAUUGGGCAAUGGGCGCAAGCCUGACCCAGCAACGCCGCGUGAAGGAAGAAGGCUUUCGGGUUGUAAACUUCUUUUCUCAGGGACGAAGAAAGUGACGGUACCGGAGGAAUAAGCCACGGCUAACUACGUGCCAGCAGCCGCGGUAAUACGGAGGUGGCAAGCGUUAUCCGGAUUUAUUGGGGGUAAAGGGCGUGUAGGCGGGAGCGCAAGUCAGAUGUGAAAACUCAGGGCUCAACCCUGAGCCUGCAUUUGAAACUGUGUUUCUUGAGUGCUGGAGAGGCAAUCGGAAUUCCGGGUGUAGCGGUGAAAUGCGUAGAUAUACGGAGGAACACCAGUGGCGAAGGCGGAUUGCUGGACAGUAACUGACGCUGAGGCGCGAAAGCGUGGGGAGCAAACAGGAUUAGAUACCCCUGUAGUC